UUAAUAAUUAAAGGCAAACUCCAGGAAUGUCUCUGGGGUGUGGGGAAGAGAUGGAGUGUGUUUCAAGUGGGUGGGGAUGCCAGCAGUCUACAGUAUCUCAAUCCCCAGUUCACCAGAAUGAAACAGCACAAAAUUCAGGUCUUCCUUAUACAUGGUAAUUCAUAAAUGUCUAUGCCAAAAUAGAACAGGGCUGAGAAGAGCAAUAAAAAACUGGAGGCUGGAUUGAUUGAUUGGAGAGGAUGCGUUAAAUAUAUUUAGCCUGGCUAAAUGAUGACUACAGCACACAGUGCAUAUAAAUCUUCAAAUAGGUGAAGGGUUAAACACCAAGAAUAGAAUUGUCUAGCAUAAUUUAAAGGAGUUUAACGAGGAGUAACAGGAUGACAUUAAUGAAAAUUGAGACUCAAUAUCAGUUAAAACUUCCUGACAGUGAGAUCUGUUAGCCUGUGGAACAGUCUUCCCAAGUAGAGUGGUAGAAAUCCCAUCACUUGACACAUUUUAAAAUCAGACUGGACAAAGUGCUAUUAAAUGUACAACAGAAAUCCAGCCUGCAUUGGCAGGGAAAUGAACUAAACCAGUCUUACAUCUCAAGAUUCCAAGCUAAUUAUGGGUUCCCGAAUAACUUAAAUUGGUUCUGCCAGAGUGCAGGGGCUGGAUUCUUCUGCUUGAAAAAUCUCUUGUAAACCAAACAGUUCUCUGUAAUCUGAGUAAAGUAAAUUCUAGUCCCAUAGAUGAGAGCCAUGUGAGUAAUAACCUCAUUCCAAAAGUUGCACCCUCCACAGAUAGCGGGGUGGGUUAUUGCCUGAUUAGCCUUGCCAAGGAGUCCUUCAUGCUGCAAUGCAUUACAGGAGAGAAACAAAUAACCCAACUCCUGAAACUUCAUUAUCCUUUUCUUGAGAAAACCCAUUGCUACAUCCCUGUAUCCACAGGAAGCCCCUGUCACGUUUGUAUUUCUUAAUUUGAGUUUAUUUUCUAGGUCAUGAAUUUUUACUUCCUGGGGUUUUCAAAGACUGCCAUUUUCACUGUUAGCAGAAUGUCCAUCAAUACGGUCCAUAGCUUCAGUUUUCCUCUAACCUUCCUGUAAAAGUAUGAGAAACUUUUCUAACUUUCAUCUUCCUGUCUUCUGAGACACCCUUCCUGUUCCCUUGCCUUUUUAAUAGGGUUGGCACCUCCAAGACUCAGGAGGGGAUCCCUUGAGGGCUGAGGUAAGGGUUUUUUUCUAUUGCCCCCUCCCUUCUGAUGAGCCUUAGGUCUGUCCUGCUACCCAGUGCUGGCAGGAGCCACGCAGUAAUUACAAGAUCACUGUGUGGCUGCGUGUGCACGCAGUUUAUGAGGAAUGUUGGUCCGAAGUGAAAAAAAACCCAGCAUAUUAAAUCUUUUCACUGGCAACACAGUACAAAAUCCAGCCAGGCCUGGUAAAAAUCAGCCAGGUGACAACCCUGCUUAUUAAAUCCAUCUCUUCAAAUUUCUCAGAACAUCUUUUCUCCUUUUCGACUAUCACAAUCAGCUGUGAGUUCAACUUAGUAAAGCAGUGAGCUGAUGGACAGUAUAUACCAAAAAAGGGCCUGAUGCUGUAAUCUGAUCCAUGCCUGUGGACCUUGGGGCCUGCAUACAGAGUCCUAGGCUCUGCCCACAGAGAUCCAAUUGCAGGCCUAAAGUCCUAUCCACAGAAGUGAAGCUGGCUUGGAUUCUGGGGUGAAAUCCUGGCUAUAAUGAAGUCAAUGGGCGUUUCCAACUCAUUUCUUAGCUUUAGGUAGCGUUUCAACUUUCUGACAAGGAACAACUGCAGAAAUGAUGUAGGAGGAAAUAAAUGAGGUGGCAGAAAAGCACCACCCAUGACCUUAAAACAAUCUGUGAACAGAAAAUUGGCCUGGGAGGCUUUAAUCUUUUUUUUUUUUUUAUAAUUCUUUAUGAUGGCGGGGAAAAGGUUGAUAUUGUCUAGGUUUGGGGUUUGGUUUUGUUUUUCAUGGAAGUUUUUUAGUCUGCUUAUUUUACACUUGGAAUAGAGGUCUUGUUUUUCCUGGAACACAGUGCGACAGGCUGACUGAACUAGUAGCAUUAUGACAUCACAGCGGGCACAGAAGUGAAAUCUGAAUAACUGAGAAGAGAGAGGAUUUUUAGUCAGACUGUUCAAAACUUUAUGGGUUUGGUGGGUUUUUUGGUAGGUUUGCUUUGUUUUUGUUUUUUAAGUAACACCUAUUUAACUCAAACACCGGACGAACAUUGUUAAAGAUUCAGUCACCUGCACCCCUUUUAGGUCUUGUCCACGUAGCGACAUUUUUUCAAUAUAAACUAAGUUGUGAAGUUAAACUGAUAGUAAUACAGGUUGUGAUGGGGGGUGCUCCCCACACUGGCCCUGCAAGAGCUGAAUUGGGCCAGGUGGGCCCAAUCAGCUAAUUAGACUGCAAACAAGGGAGCCUUAGGAGGCAGCUAAUUAGAGGGAAGCUCACCUCUGCAGGAACAGAGGGGGCCUAUAUAAACCAGGACGUUUACAAUAGAAGAGGCUGCUAGGAAAGGUUGCAGCCCCUCUCUGGGAAGAGGGAGUUCUCUGGUAUACCCAGAGAAAGGGGAGGAACCAGACGAGUAGGAAGCAGUCCAGGGAAGGAGCAGUGAGGACCAGUACUGCUGGGUUGAGGGUCCCUGGAUUGGAACCUGGAGUAGAAGGCGGGCCCAGAUUCCCUUACCAGCAUGAGGGCAUGGCAUAAACAGGUGAAGCAGUGAACAGGAAGACCUCCUGGGUUACUAAGGGAGUCAGAGAAUUGAAGGACUGAACCCCAGAAGGGAGGAAACGCUAAACAGCAUAGAGAGAAGGCUGUGUGUGAAGAGGACAGCUGCAGCUCCUGAGAGUGAGAGCGGGGCUGCAGAGGAGAAACUGUUGGGAUAUAACUGCCGCAAGAGGCGUAGGCCUGACCCAACUAAUCCCCAGAACCGUCAGGAGGCGACACUGUCCCAGUGCUUCAUGGAAGGCCUGCAUGAAGCCCACCAGCUAAGAUACAGACCUGUUGGCUGGAUGGGCCAAGAAGAGGGUGACAGAAACAGAAACCCAGAGUUCAAAUAUGGUCAAACUUCAGCUGUCUGGAGAAAUCUGGUGCUCAAGUUGAAUGGACUUUUAUCUAUCUUUGGAGUGCCAAGAGGCUCCAGCUGAAAUGGAGACAUUGUCCUAGGCACUGAACAAACACAUAGUAAGAUGACAUCAUUACCUUCAAAGAGCUUACGCUAUAAAUAGACAAGACAGACAAAGGGUAGGAGAAGAGAAGUAUUCACAGGUGGUGUACUGGGGCAGAGAGAGAGAGAGAGGAAAUGACUUGUCUGAGGGAGGUCAGGUCGGAAAUUUGUAACAGAGUCAAGAAGUGUGCCCCAGUUCUCCUGGGUCCUAAUCCCAAACCUUAAGCACAAGAUCUUUCCUCCCUCUGAUAACACUUACAGCAUGCAAGUUUAAUGUGUGAACAACAGCAAAAACUUGACAUAGAAGCUAAAUCACAGUAAGUGUCUGUAUCGUAUUAGUAGUCACAGUGGAUGAAAUUCACCCCAAAGCAGAGGGAUGA